CUGCUUAUACCAUUGCGAACCAAUCCAUCAGCGUUGCUUCGGCGGGAGACGGGCCCCACGGCCCCGGUCUCCGGACCGCCCGCCGGAGGUAAGAAACUCUACUGUAUCUCUGUGACAUCUCUGAGUAAUCAAACAAAUAAGUUAAAACUUUCAACAACGGAUCUCUUGGUUCUGGCAUCGAUGAAGAACGCAGCGAAAUGCGAUAAGUAAUGUGAAUUGCAGAAUUCAGUGAAUCAUCGAAUCUUUGAACGCACAUUGCGCCCGCUAGUACUCUAGCGGGCAUGCCUGUUCGAGCGUCAUUUCAACCCUCAAGCUCCGCUUGGUGUUGGGGCCCUACGGCUGCCGUAGGCCCUGAAAGGAAGUGGCGGGCUCGCUGCAACUCCGAGCGUAGUAGAAUCCUAUCUCGCUAGGGAGGCGCCGCGCGCUCCUGCCGUUAAAGACCCCAUCUUUAACCAAAGGUUGACCUCGGAUCAGGUAGGAAUACCCGCUGAACUUAAGCAUAUCAAU
rnacentral:rRNA from 1 species